CAGGAGCUGCAGCCUGUGUCUGGAUCCAGCCUGUUUGAACAGAGGCUUUAAUCUCUGGCUGGGACCAACUGACAUGCCCUGGAGGAGUUCACCUUGAAUGAAACAAACCCAAUGGAAAGCUGUGAUCAAUCGAUUUCAUGGGACCUCAGAAAAAGCUAUUACCUCCUUCGCUAGCUUCACUCCGUGCUCGUAGAGCUCAGCCUCCAGCCACCCUUGGGGUGGAGCAGGAGCCCCCUCACUCUGAAGAUCCCCGCGAUGGCCGGCAGUGCCCUGGAGAAGCAUUACCUGUGUUCCUAUGAGGACAUAAGUGUCAUAGAAAGUAUUGAUCUGAAGAAGGAUUUACAAGACAAGAGGAGGUGUUUGGACAUAUCAGCCCACAAGAAAGAAUGGAUUCUCCGUGUUUAGGGAAUGGCAGGAAAAAAACCUGAGAGACGUUUGUGGGAAUAUCAGCGAUACAGGUCACGAAGAAGCAAAGUCAGUGGGAGGAGAUUUAUACAAGGCUCUGCAGAUGACACCCAGCUGCCAGCAGAUGAGUUAAUAGAGGCAAAGUGGAUGCCAAGAUGAUGGGAUCAACGGAGCAAUUGCUUUAUAGAGACACAGGAGUCUUAUGUGGAUGCUGUGGGUUAGGAAGGCCUGGCCUGACUAUGGGACAUUAUUUUAACCCAGAACAUCAAAUCUGAGAUGAAGUAUGUUUAUGCCACAGUCAACAUGGGCUGAUACUAGGUGCUUGGCAAAGGCCUUUUCUGUGUUUUCGGUUUAAUUGCUGCAAAUCAGCCUCCUAAAACAGCCACGCGGUGGCAGCAAGCCCUCGAGGAGUCGUGAUUUAGGAUUUUUGGAAAGAAAUUGGCUAAAUAUAACCAGUUUCAAUAUUCCAGACGUGCAUAUUUAGAGGGGCUGGAACUUACUGUACCAUUAAAAUUACCAACUAAAAGCCACGAGCACUCUGCCUGGCGGUGACAGCUACAGGAGUGUGCAUUUAAUUUGAUUUUGCUUGUUCCUUCGGAGCUCCUACAAAAUCCUUUUUCAGGAGGAGCGUUCCCGAUUUGUGUUAGCAGCACAGAGCAUUAUAUAAACCGUAAGAAGGGACAGCCACGCAUCACAUAGCAGAAGUCUUGUCUCCCAUCAGGGUACAUGGGAGCUUGCACGGACGUGUUAAAGCACAAGCACAAAUGUCGUGGAUAAGAGUUGAUCAGGGCUCCUGUACAUUCCUGUGGCUGUGGACUGGCAGGAGCCUCCAGACCACAUCAGUCAAGGACCCUGUCUCUGUUUGUACCCGCUCUCCAGGAGAAGGCUAUAAAGCCUUGCAAUGGACUGUUAUGAGAUAUGGGGCAUCAGGAUCAUUUCUCAUUCAGAGAUGGUUGAAGUCAAGCAAAUAAAUAGUGUAAAAAAGGGACUGGACAUUUGCAUGGGUAUGGGGCAUAUCCAGAGGUGCUGCAGCUAGUGACAGUGGCGUUUGGGAAGGGACAUGAGUCCUCUUGGGCUUGGGCUGUAGCUGAUCAUUAAUUUGUUUCCCUAGCUCGUGCUCGCAUUUUGCUGCCUGUUAUUUAGGGAGCGCGAGUCUUCCCCGUUACACUGCCUGGCCACUGGUUUGGCAUGGAAUUGCCAGCACCAGACCUGGCCUUGCUGAGUUACCUGCCUGUGACUUGCCAGGGCCGAGAUACAUCGACUGGUGUUGCUCCCUCCCCGCUCUGUCGCUGCCACCAGCCUUGCAGUGUUCGGGCCCAGAAAGUACAGCAAAACUUGCUUUUUUUAUGUUGCUACCAUGCUGAUCUCACGUACGCUCCCUGCCAUGUCAGCUGUUAAAGCACUCCGCACCUGAGUCCAGCCUGGGGAAAAAAGACCACUGUUUUUUCGCUCCUAGGACUGUUUGUGCCAGGGAUGCAGAAAACCAGAUACCCCAGAUCUGGGGUCUCUGCCAGCUCUCCCUUCAGGCUGACAGAGGGUCCUGCUG